rnacentral:rRNA from 1 species
GGGUGAGUAACACGUGGGUAACCUGCCCAUCAGAAGGGGAUAACACUUGGAAACAGGUGCUAAUACCGUAUAACAAUAGAAACCGCAUGGUUUCUAUUUGAAAGGCGCUUUUGCGUCACUGAUGGAUGGACCCGCGGUGCAUUAGCUAGUUGGUGAGGUAACGGCUCACCAAGGCAACGAUGCAUAGCCGACCUGAGAGGGUGAUCGGCCACAUUGGGACUGAGACACGGCCCAAACUCCUACGGGAGGCAGCAGUAGGGAAUCUUCGGCAAUGGACGAAAGUCUGACCGAGCAACGCCGCGUGAGUGAAGAAGGUUUUCGGAUCGUAAAACUCUGUUGUUAGAGAAGAACAAGGAUGAGAGUAGAAUGUUCAUCCCUUGACGGUAUCUAACCAGAAAGCCACGGCUAACUACGUGCCAGCAGCCGCGGUAAUACGUAGGUGGCAAGCGUUGUCCGGAUUUAUUGGGCGUAAAGCGAGCGCAGGCGGUUUCUUAAGUCUGAUGUGAAAGCCCCCGGCUCAACCGGGGAGGGUCAUUGGAAACUGGGAAACUUGAGUGCAGAAGAGGAGAGUGGAAUUCCAUGUGUAGCGGUGAAAUGCGUAGAUAUAUGGAGGAACACCAGUGGCGAAGGCGGCUCUCUGGUCUGUAACUGACGCUGAGGCUCGAAAGCGUGGGGAGCAAACAGGAUUAGAUACCCUGGUAGUCCACGCCGUAAACGAUGAGUGCUAAGUGUUGGAGGGUUUCCGCCCUUCAGUGCUGCAGCUAACGCAUUAAGCACUCCGCCUGGGGAGUACGACCGCAAGGUUGAAACUCAAAGGAAUUGACGGGGGCCCGCACAAGCGGUGGAGCAUGUGGUUUAAUUCGAAGCAACGCGAAGAACCUUACCAGGUCUUGACAUCCUUUGACCACUCUAGAGAUAGAGCUUCCCCUUCGGGGGCAAAGUGACAGGUGGUGCAUGGUUGUCGUCAGCUCGUGUCGUGAGAUGUUGGGUUAAGUCCCGCAACGAGCGCAACCCUUAUUGUUAGUUGCCAUCAUUUAGUUGGGCACUCUAGCGAGACUGCCGGUGACAAACCGGAGGAAGGUGGGGAUGACGUCAAAUCAUCAUGCCCCUUAUGACCUGGGCUACACACGUGCUACAAUGGGAAGUACAACGAGUCGCGAAGUCGCGAGGCUAAGCUAAUCUCUUAAAGCUUCUCUCAGUUCGGAUUGUAGGCUGCAACUCGCCUACAUGAAGCCGGAAUCGCUAGUAAUCGCGGAUCAGCACGCCGCGGUGACA